UGCUGGGUUUGUCCCUUUUUAACCCAGCGCUGGGUUAUAUUUAACCCAUCAUUUUUUAGAGUGUAUGUUUAGCUCUAGCAUAUGUGCGUUUGGUUUUUCUGUAGUGUUUGGUGUCUGUAAGAACAUGAUACUUCACAUCUAAACGACGUUCCUCUUAAUAAGAUAGUUCCUUCAGCAGUGGGCAGGACUAACUCACAAACCGUAAUCCCAUUGGUUGAGAUGUGAUUAAUAACCCGACACCUGUCAGAGAUUAGCGUAACAAACAAGAAGUUGCACGAACAUGUGAGUACAGAGAAAAGUCAUCUGAAUGCGGAUAUUUCUGGUUCAGAGCUGCUGGGGGUCAUGAGGAGUUGGCAGGAGGAGCAGGGGAGCAACCGCUGAACCCUCAUUCAUCUUUGACCUUUUUCUGGAUGCAGUGAAGUGCACUGUUUUCUGUCGUAAUGCACCUUCUCUUGGAGCCAUCUGGUUAUACCAGCUCGGACCCAUUCUGUGGGUCUCAGUUGGUACAGCUGUGGGACUGGAGACAGACG
rnacentral:lncRNA from 1 species